rnacentral:rRNA from 1 species
GAACGGGGGCUGCUGGGGCGGCGGGCCUAGCUGCGGCGGGGCCAGGCGGUCGCGGGCAGUUGCUGUGCUGGAGCGGCCUGACGAGGAGAGGCAGCUGGAGCAGGGGCCGUAGGAGGGGCGUGGCGGUGUUGAGGCAGCGGUGGGCAGCAGGGGUAGGGGGUGGGGCUCGGAGGGGCUCGUACGACGGGGCAGGGAUGAGGGACGAUGUGGCUCUGGCUGCGGCGACGAUGGGCCAAGCUGAUGUCACAACUGCUGGUGAGAGAGAACGGUCUCGUUGGUCUACAACCUCGGGUCCUCGGUCUGCGGUGGAAGCUGCUGUUGAGGAUGAUGUGGCCACCACGGAUGAUGAAGCACGACGGGCGACUGCUGCUGGUCCUCAUCAAAUCCUCCUAGGGUCCGUCCUCCGGACGCGGAGAAAGCUAGACAUAGGGUCAAACACGAUCGGAAGAAUUCCGUUUGAACAAAUUGAAUACAGACAUGAAUCUAUAACAAACGAAGGUGACUGAGCAGAUACUAGCUCGAGAACAUAAGCUCGGGAGCUCCGGGGACCGAACAUUAUACUACUAACAUACUGAAUAAAAUAAACAUCUCAACACAACACUAUAGAAGGGCACUCAGGGACUAGAACUAGCAUGUGCAAACGCACAUACUAAUCACAUGCUAACUUAGCCCCCGCAGUGUUUUG